rnacentral:lncRNA from 1 species
CAUGUGAGUGCUUAAGUGGAUUCACUCCAAAAUCGCCUCAAAAUUGGAAAGUGAAGGACCGGAGUGAAGGAUGCGUGCGGAGUGAAAAUUGGAGCUGUAGAGAGAAAAAUAAAGAUGGGUUCAUCAAAUUUCAAAAUAUGAAGGUCCCAAACACUAAGAUAUCUUGGAUAAAUAGAAGUAUGACACUUGAGAAAUGUAAGACCAAAUGUUGGGAGAAUUGUUCCUGUACAGCUUAUGCUAACUCAAACAUCAUUGAGGAUGGAAGUGGUUGCAUCCUCUGGUUUAGUGAUCUCUUGGACUUGAGACAAUUACCCGAUUCGGGGCAAGAUCUUUAUGUUAGAUCCCAUACCUCGGAAAUAGGUACGAGAUUUUAUUUUAAACUGAAUGGUGUUUCGUAAUAUUUUUUGCAAUUAAUGUGUUUUUCAAAGUUUAAUUAUUGAUAUUGUAUUAUUUUGUUUAAAGCAAACAGAGAUGGUUCAAGGAAAAUGGUAGCCGUGGUCACAAGUACCACUUCAUUAAUUAUUGUGAUGCUUUUGCUAUUUACCAUACUUUUUUGUUGGAGGAGAAAAGUUAAAUCUAAAUCUAGAGGUAACUUUUGUGAUUAUUAUUCUUUUGACGUUGGGAUGAGUUAGGGUCGAGUUAUAAUUUUUAUGUAUUCAAUUCUAUCAAAUUCCUUUGUUUUUGUUGUAAAUCAUACAAAUUCAAACGGUCAAAUCCAAAACAUUAAUACAAUAUAAAGGUUCCCUCUCUUAUAAUUAAUUAAGAAAGGAGAAAACUUAGGUCAAGUACCAUACAUCCUUUUAUUCAUCGGUACUAGAAAUGAUGAGAUUAACUUCAAAAUUUACCUUUAAUAAUCUAUCCAAAACAACCAAGAUAUCUUAACUAAGUCUUUAUCCAAAACAUUAAUACAAUAUAAAGGUUCCCUCUCUUAUAAUUAAUUAAGAAAGGAGAAAACUUAGGUCAAGUACCAUACAUCCUUUUGGUCUUGUUCUCCACUUAAAAUUUGACACAUCAACAAUUUUUUCCAUGUCAGCUUUUAACAAAUUAACACUAAAAAUGGAAACAUAGGAUGUAUGGUAAAAAAUUGUUGAUAUGUCAAAUUUUAAGUGGAGAAUAUGACCAAAAGGAUGUAUGGUACUUGACCUAAGUUUUCUCCAUUAAGAAAUCACACCAAUCUUUGCCUGAAGUAUGAGUUCAUAAAUCACAAUACUUGCAAUUUAGUAUAAACAACUUGUUGGGAAGCUUGGCGAGCUUAAAGAGCAUUGCCAAGAACUAAGGACUUAUGUUGUACACGACCAAGAAAUUAAAAAAAAAAUGACAUCUCUUAAAUAUCUUAUUAGGUCAUAAUAGCCAAUAUGAGACUAAUCAAUCAUAAAUUCAAGUAAUAGUUGUCUUCAAUAUAGAAAGGCAACUUUCUAGCAUGAGAAGGCUUGUAUUAUGUAGGUGUGUAUAGUUAUUCUAAUCUUGUUAAUUUUAUAGAGGAAAUAGGAAUCAUGAAGACAACAAUAAAGAAAAGCGAAGGUGAACAAGAAGACAUGGAGCUACCUUCCUUUGACUUUGGUAGAAUAGCAUUUGCCACUAACGACUUCUCAAAAAAUAACAAGCUUGGCGAAGGUGGUUUUGGUCCAGUGUAUAGGGUGAGUAUAAGUACAUGCAUCCUGUUAUUUAAUGGUUAAAACAAAGGACAAAGUCUGAUUUUUUUUUCUUCAUUGUUAAAUUACUUUACAAAUGUGAUUUUUUAAGGGAACAUUACCAGAUGGACAAGAUAUCGCAGUUAAAAGGCUUUCACAUAGCUCCAAACAAGGAACAAAAGAAUUUAAGAAUGAGGUUAUAUUUUGUUCCAAACUCCAACAUCGAAACCUAGUUAAGGUCCUUGGCUUUUGCAUUGAAGAAGAAGAGAAACUACUCAUCUAUGAAUAUAUGCCCAACAAAAGCUUAGACUUCUUUCUUUUUGGUUAGUGUCUAUGCAAAAACUUGUUAUGGUAUUGCUUGUUCAAUAUUUGAUGAUUACUGCAUAUAACAAAAGUAUAUUAAUUGUACAGAUUCUUCUCGAAGUAAAUUUUUAGACUGGUCUAAGCGGUUUGACAUUAUCGGUGGUAUUGCUAGAGGAAUUCUUUACCUUCACCAGGACUCUAGACUAAGGGUCAUACAUAGAGAUUUAAAAGCAGGUAAUAUUUUAUUAGACAAUGAUAUGAGUCCCAAAAUUGCUGAUUUUGGCCUGGCUCGAAUGUGCGGAGGUGACCAGAUUCAAGGAAACACAGAUAUAGUUGUUGGUACAUAGUAAGUAUAUACCCAAUGCUUAAGUGUUUCUAAAAUUAUAUUGUACGUGUACAUGACUAUAUCCUCAAAUUAAUACAUUUGUUAUUUUUUCAGUGGUUAUAUGGCACCCGAGUAUGCAAUUGAUGGGAUAUUCUCCAUCAAAUCAGAUGUAUAUAGCUUUGGAAUUUUAUUAUUAGAGAUUAUAAGCGGAAAGAAAAAUAAAGGACUUUCCUAUUCAAAUCACAACUACAAUCUUGUUUCACAUGUAAGUAACGAAAAUAACUUCAAUUAUCAAACACUAAAACACCUGUUAUAAUUAUUAUGAUUUGUUGUAGGCAUGGAGAUUGUGGAAAGAGUGCAUCCCAAUGGAAUUCAUGGAUACUUGUUUGGAGGAGGGUUCAUAUAUCUCAUCUGAAGUCUUGAGAUGCAUUCAUAUUGGUCUUUUAUGUGUGCAACACCAUCCUAAUGAUAGACCAACUAUGACAUCUGUGCUUGUAAUGCUAACUAGCGAAAAUACUUUACCACACCCGAAAGAGCCUAUCUUCCUAAUUGAAAAGGUUUCAGAUGGGAAAGAAUCUACUUCUGGACAUGAAAUGUACAAUUUAACAAAUGAAGAAUCUAGGUCAAUAUUGGAACCUAGAUAGGGAAGAUGUUUUAGUUUUUGCGAUGGGUGUUGGUCAUUAAGAGUUGGGAUGUGUUCUUUUGCUAAAUAUAUGAAUAUUUUAUGUUAUGCUUUAAGUUUUGUAUACUUAUAUAAUAAUAACUUCCGCCAAAUUAAGUUUUUAAAGUAUUUGGUAAAUUUUAAGUUAAACCACAAAGUAAAAUCAUUCAGAAAAAACAUAACAUCAACUAAAUGUAGGAAUGAAAGUUUCGUACUUGUAGAGAUAAAUAUAGCUGCUUCUCAAUAAACCUUUGACCUUAUCAAAUUUGGAUUGACGCCUCACGACCUGCAAAAAUAAAUUACAAAAUCAUAUGACAAAAGUAAUACCAGGUACAGAUCAAAGACAGAAAUUGGCUUAUAUGAUAAAGCGGAACCAGAUUGUUAGACGUUGAAGCGUGAAUGUCACUCUACCUUUGGAGAAUUAUAAUAACCUAUGUGGAGUUAUGCUGGGAAACGGUUUACUUGAUGUAUCAUAUAUCAAGCUCUAUAUAUGUGGAGGCAUAAGGCUAUGGAUUGUCUAAGACUUGAAAAUGGCAGGGAGGGAAUGUACACAUGUUGCCUUAUGGAUUGUUAAGACUUGUAAAUAUGUUCUUAAGGUGGUUGCUGCAAAAGGAGUGGAAGUAAGCUUCAGGAAAUCUUUGAAAUAUUGAUUUGUAUUCUUUUAUGACUCUUGAAUGGGGGCACUUUGUUAUGUAACUUUUACUAAGGCUUUGUGAUAUCUGCUACAUGAACUGGUGUAAUGUAUGUAUUUUCAUUUUCAACCUGCUGGGAUCAUAUCUUAUGCCUCUUGGUAGUGGUUUAAUAAGUUUCAAAUACAUAUCAAUUAAGCAGCUCAUACUAGAUACCAGAAAUAGGAAUUUAAGGGUUUAAUACGUAUCAUACUAGUAUCAUCAUGUAUCCUAAAAACAAGCUUAUAAGUUAUAACAAAACAUGUCCAGCUGUUGUCAGACCAGGGACCAAAAUUACAGUAAAUUCUCACAGUACAAAAAAGUUCUUGUGCACCAGUGCACCGCCAAGGAACAAAUAAGAGCAACAUGCAUGUAAGUUUAAAAAUAGUAACAAGGAAAAAACAACACAAACAUACACAAGGAUAAUAAGAAUAGAAUAAAAAAAUGCUAGAAAGAUGAUAAUUUGUGUGAUUAUGACAGAGAGGAGAAGAAAAUUAUACCUAAUACUUAAAUCAUUUCAACAGGAGCAUAUAAUAAAAAGGCGGCAUCAGCAAGGCAAUGAUAGUCCGCGAAAGAAAUUUGACGUCGGUCGACGGCUACAAGUUGACGGCACAUGAUUUCUGGUUGUGUGUCUUGUGUUCCUUUUACUAGUUGGCCCCGUGGCAUCAUCUACACAGUUUGAUUUAUCAGGAGGUCUAAAUAGAAUGAAUGGAAUCUAUCCCUGCUGUCUGAACAUCAGAGAACCAGCAUCUGAAACCAACAACAUCACGACGACUGUUUCAAUUGAAAGUAAACCAGCCACCAAAAUGCUCAAAUAAAUGGACAAACUGAUUAGUAUAUAAUCUUAUAGGCUAAAUGCGACGUUGCAUUGCAUCCACUAUUAUAUCUCCAAUUCAGGAAAAAAUUUAUACCACCCUCUAUGCUGAAUUAACAUAUAUAUCCGGUUCACAUUUGGAACCCUACCAACACCAGGCACCAAUCAUAUCAAUAAUGCAAAAAAAAAAGAGCACGAUUCUGCUAGCAACUAAAUGCUGAUCUCCUUGCUGUGAAUUUCAAGAAAAGUGUUGAAGCAAAUGAAUCACGGAGGAACCCUAGAAUCAAAGAUAGUACUAAAUUGAAAAAAAUAUCUACUACAUUGAACUGUGCAACACAGUAUAAUAUCUUAUUAUUGUAACUGAAAUGAUUGAAAACGUGUUCUUGAUGAAACAUUUUGAUUCACAAGGAAAUGAAAUGAAAUCGGGAAACAAGAAAAUUUGAAACAGGAUCCCCAACGAACCAAACAAAAUAAACAUAAAACAUAACCAGAACAGCGAAAUCAUAAGAAACGAGAGCAGAAAUCACGAAAUUAGCACAAAACGUAGCGAAAUCAGAAACCAGAACAUACCAGAGCGGCAAAACAAAACGAAAUUUUGUAAAGACAAAGCUACGAUUUGAACGAAGCCUCGGAGCUUGAAGAGAUUUGACAGAAAUCCUGAAAUGACAGAGACUUUCAUUUUAGUCACAGAAAAAACAAUUUUUUUUUUAUUAAAAAAUUUGGUGCAAUAUUAUUAAACUUGUGAUAUUGAGAUUCUAAAUUUUAUUGUUAUAAAGUUCAUAAAAUCUUUCCUUUUUCCAUGGUGAGGUAGUAUUGUUUUCUAAUUGGUCUAAGAAUUUAACGUGAUUAUGUAUAUACUCUGUGCAAAACGAUAUGAAAUUGAACUGAUUAGUUAAUAGUUAUAAGCAACAAAACGAAAUUGGUAGACAAGAUUCAUUUAUAUAUGAUUGUGGAGAAGAGAAAAACACAAAUUAGGACUAAGGCGAACAUGUCUGUACCGCACCAGCCGCGGUAGCAUGCAAAGCACCAGCCCGUAUCAAAUCUGAAGCAAUCGUAGGUUUUACCUGCAUCAGACCUGAAACAGAAUAGAACCUAAAUUUU